UACAAAAGUAGAGAUUUCCACCGACGCUGUAUAGAGAGAGCGUCUGGUCGGAUCAAACAACCAGCGACAACAACAACCACAAGAACAAACGCCACCGUAAACAAUUAAUUCCACCACACUCUCUUGGCGGUCGCUUUCCCGGGUCUACUUCCUUUCUCUCACCAAUUUUAAAUCCCCAAACACGGAUAUUUAUACAGAUAUUGAUUGGAGCACUGACAAAAUGACCACAUCAGGUGGCGGCGGUGGCGGGGGGCGCCUCAUGGCCUACUCCCCGUCUCCGUCUGCUCCUCAUCCUCCUCAUCUCUCUGGCCUCCGUUCCGCCUCCUCUGCUCUCGUCGAGCAAGAAAAGUAGCUCUCUCUUUCUCUCUCUCUCAGCUAUCG
rnacentral:misc_RNA from 1 species